rnacentral:tRNA from 1 species
ACUACUUGUUAAAUUAGUAUAUAAAGUACGUAGUGUUGUGAUCACUAAAGAAGUUUUAAACUAUU